CUUCAAGUAUGUCUUUACAUAUGGUCGGGGGUAUGAAGUGGGCGGGCGUGAUGAUGUGAAUGGUAAUGCUUAGAAUUGGAUUUAUAGGGGUGCCAUUACCAUGCGGGAGGGGAGCCGGAGUGGGGGUCGAUAUAGGAGAGGUGAUUGACGAUGUCUGGGGGGAUUCCAACUUGUCCAGCCUAACGCUAAUCGUGUUGACAGAGGCCAGGAGAGAUGACAUCAAGCCCUUGAUCUCAGUAUAAU